GAUGAACGCUGGCGGCGUGCCUAAUACAUGCAAGUCGAGCGAACAGACGAGGAGCUUGCUCCUCUGACGUUAGCGGCGGACGGGUGAGUAACACGUGGAUAACCUACCUAUAAGACUGGGAUAACUUCGGGAAACCGGAGCUAAUACCGGAUAAUAUAUUGAACCGCAUGGUUCAAUAGUGAAAGACGGUUUUGCUGUCACUUAUAGAUGGAUCCGCGCCGCAUUAGCUAGUUGGUAAGGUAACGGCUUACCAAGGCGACGAUGCGUAGCCGACCUGAGAGGGGGAUCGGCCACACUGGAACUGAGACACGGGCCAGACUCCUACGGGAGGCAGCAGUAGGGAAUCUUCCGCAAUGGGCGAAAGCCUGACGGAGCAACGCCGCGUGAGUGAUGAAGGGCUUCGGAUCGUAAAACUCUGUUAUUAGGGAAGAACAAAUGUGUAAGUAACGAUGCACGUCUUGACGGUACCUAAUCAGAAAGCCACGGCUAACUACGUGC
rnacentral:rRNA from 1 species